GUCACGCCAUAUUUAUAGGCGACACCGGCCUGCGGUGUCAAGCGAUGGGACGAGUCAUGGUUUCAGCCCGUGAGUUGUGUGUUUGGGGACCUUAUAAUGCUCCCUAAUGCCCCAUUUUUGGCCAAAAGAGAGAAAGUUUUUGAAGAAAAGAAGAGAAGAAGAAGACAGAGAAGGAGAGGGCGGGAAGGAAGGGGGGGAAGGGAAAAAGAGAAGCAGAAUAGAGAGAGGGAAGGAGAAAGAAAAGGAAAAAUAAAUAAAUAGAAAAGGAAAUGAGAAUUUGUUGUUUAGGGAAGAUUAGGUGUUUAAGAAAAGAUAAUUUUUUUUGUUGAUUUAAUUCGGAUUUAAUUUUUAAUUUUAUUUUUGUAAGGUAUUAUUUGGUUAAAAAGAGUUAUUAAGGUAUGUUUGUAUUUAUGUUAUAUUUU
rnacentral:lncRNA from 1 species